GAGAAAUUAGUUAAUCAAUAAUACCACCUUGUCAAGAUGAAGUAACGAAUUAAACCCUCGUAUUUCUCU
rnacentral:tRNA from 1 species